rnacentral:rRNA from 1 species
GAUGAACGCUGGCGGCGUGCUUAACACAUGCAAGUCGAACGAAGCAUUUGCGACAGAUUUUUUCGGAAUGAAGUUGCUUAUGACUGAGUGGCGGACGGGUGAGUAACGCGUGGGUAACCUGCCUUGUACUGGGGGAUAGCAGCUGGAAACGGCUGGUAAUACCGCAUAAGCGCACAAUGUUGCAUGACAUGGUGUGAAAAACUCCGGUGGUAUAAGAUGGACCCGCGUCUGAUUAGCUAGUUGGUGAGAUAACAGCCCACCAAGGUGACGAUCAGUAGCCGACCUGAGAGGGUGACCGGCCACAUUGGGACUGAGACACGGCCCAGACUCCUACGGGAGGCAGCAGCGGGGAAUAUUGCACAAUGGAGGAAACUCUGAUGCAGCGACGCCGCGUGAGUGAAGAAGUAAUUCGUUAUGUAAAGCUCUAUCAGCAGGGAAGAUAGUGACGGUACCUGACUAAGAAGCUCCGGCUAAAUACGUG